rnacentral:rRNA from 1 species
GGGUUAGUAGGUUGGUCAUGCCUCUGGUAUGUACUGGUCUCACUGAUUCCUCCUUCCUGAUGAGCCGUAAUGCCAUUAAUUUGGUGUUGCGGGGAAUUUGGACUGUUACCUUGAAAAAAUUAGAGUGCUUAAAGCAGGCUAUCGCCUGAAUACAUUAGCAUGGAAUAAUGAAAUAGGACGGCAUGGUUCUAUUUUGUUGGUUUCUAGGAUCACCGUA